GCCUUCGUGGUGUAGCGGUCAGCACGCUCGACGCGUAACCGAGAGGUCCGUGGUUCGAUUCCCACCGGAGGCG
rnacentral:tRNA from 1 species